UGUUUCGGUGCGGGCUGCGAGAGCGGUACCAAAUCGAGACAAACUCUGAAUACCAAACCCGUACUCGGCCAGUCAGACGGUGGGGGAUAAGCUCCAUCGUCGAGAGGGAAACAGCCCAGACCACCAGCUAAGGUCCCCAAAUGACUGCUAAGUGAUAAAGGAGGUGAGAGUGCACUGACAACCAGGAGGUUUGCCUAGAAGCAGCCACCCUUGAAAGAGUGCGUAAUAGCUCACUGGUCAAGCGCUCUUGCGCCGAAAAUGAACGGGGCUAAGCAGUCUACCGAAGCUGUGGAAUAUGAAUAAUAUUGGUAGGGGAGCGUUCCGCAACGGUGUGAAGCACUAGCGACAAGCAGGUGUGGACUGUGCGGAAGUGAGAAUGUCGGCUUGAGUAGCGCAAAUGUAGGUGAGAAUCCUACACCCCGAAACCCUAAGGGUUCCAGAGCCAGGCUCGUCCGCUCUGGGUGAGUCAGGUCCUAAGGCGAGGCCAAACGGCGUAGUCGAUGGAUAACGGGUUAACAUUCCCGUACCGAUAAUUGUUGGUGCAGAGGGACGGAGAAGGCAAUCGCCAGCCGGAUGUUGGUUACCGGUUUAAGUAUUCGAGGUGUUGAGAGACGGUGAAAACGUCUUGAGCUGAGGUACGAGUACGACCUCCUACGGGAGGGAAGUGGUAGAUGUCAUGCUUCCUAGAAAAGCUCUAAACACCAUAAACAGUUAUUGCCUGUACCCGAAACCGACACAGGUAGGGAGGUUGAGUAAACCAAGGGGCGCGAGAUAACUCUCUCUAAGGAACUCGGCAAAAUUGCCCCGUAACU
rnacentral:rRNA from 1 species